AUGCAUCUAUUUAACAGACUUGGAGCAGUUCAUGUCUGCUUCUAAGAUUUCCACCACAGGUGCAAGAAGAAAAGAUCCUCGCACUUUCUGUCUGAUUGUGGAAGCCAAGAUUGAAUGAGGGAAUACAGGA